rnacentral:lncRNA from 12 species
ACAAAACCAAUAAAACCCAUUAUAAACGACACAUUUGUUGCAUCCAGUUGGGACAUAAUUACUGAUUAUAAUGACUUAUACUGUUUUUUUUUUACAACAGCCAUUGUGCCACAGAUGCAUUGCAGGCUACUGGUUCAGGAAAUAGUCCUCAUCCUCCAUAAAAUGUGCAGCACACAUCGAAAUCAGACUGUUCUGGAACAGUGCUGAAAUACAACUUAACCACUGAUUUCUAGUCAUGUUCUCUUUUGGAAGGCCAAACAAAGUUUCACUUCAACGAAACACACAGCGACUCCAACAACAUGGCAGCAGCAGCAACAGAGAGAAUAAAAGUUACGCCUUCUUUCUUUGCGUUAUAAUAUGCUCUGUUUGACAGAAACCUGGCUAAAAUCUGAAUUUACUUUUUUGUAAGUGCUAUUAAAGACAAGAAAAGAGCAAAAUGAAGACACCUGAUUAAGAUAUGAUGUCCACAAAGGGAAGAAUUUGUUGGUCAUCUUUUGUUGUCCUGGAACAACAUAUCAAAAUAAACAAUUUUAACCUUAUCACCAACCCUAACCCUAAAUUUAUAAUUUCUACACCAAUAGCAGCAUAACAAUAGCAAAGAUAAUGACUGUUUUUAAAAUAAAAACUGUCAAGGAGGUCUUUAAUGCAUAUGGCACAUAGUCUUCUAGUUUGUACUUGACUAACUGGGGCCCAGAUCAAGAAGCAGACAGACUGGCUAAACCAACUGUCUGCUAACCGCCUCAAGUCAAAGAAGUCAGGUUAUCCUCAGCACAUAGAGACUCUUUGACCUACAUAUCAUACUUUAGAGACUGUGUGUGUUCACAGAACUAGCAAAUACAAAAAACGUCCAAAACAAUUUAAGGGUAACAAUUUAAUUGAUGUUCAACAAAUAAAAAACAGAUAUAAUACAGAUAAACAAAUUAUAAAUCUUGGCUUAAUGAAUACUAGAUCCCUUUCUAUACGAAAGCGCUUUUUGUAAAUGCUAUUAUCACAGAUCAUAACUUAGAUGUGCUCUGUUUGACAGAAACCUGGCUAAAACCAGAUGAUUACAUUAUUUUAAAUAAUGUAAGAUUAAUGUUAUAAACAUGAGCCACGUCCAAAAGGUAAAGGGGGAGGUGUUGGUACAAUUUAUAGUAAUAUUUUCAGUAUUUCUCAGAGCUCUGGUUUCAAGUACAAACCCGAUUCCAAAAAAGUUGGGACACCGUACAAAUUGUGAGUAAAAAAAGGAAUGGAAUAAUUUACAAAUCUCAUAAACUUAUAUUUUAUUCACAAUAGAAUAUAGAUAACAUAUCAAAUGUUGAAAGUGAGACAUUUUGAAAUGUCAUGCCAAAUAUUGGCUCAUUUUGGAUUUCAUGAGAGCUACACAUUCC